rnacentral:rRNA from 1 species
AUUGAACGCUGGCGGCAGGCCUAACACAUGCAAGUCGAGCGGAUGGAGGGAGCUUGCUCCUGGAUUCAGCGGCGGACGGGUGAGUAAUGCCUAGGAAUCUGCCUGGUAGUGGGGGAUAACGUCCGGAAACGGGCGCUAAUACCGCAUACGUCCUGAGGGAGAAAGUGGGGGAUCUUCGGACCUCACGCUAUCAGAUGAGCCUAGGUCGGAUUAGCUAGUUGGUGGGGUAAAGGCCUACCAAGGCGACGAUCCGUAACUGGUCUGAGAGGAUGAUCAGUCACACUGGAACUGAGACACGGUCCAGACUCCUACGGGAGGCAGCAGUGGGGAAUAUUGGACAAUGGGCGGAAGCCUGAUCCAGCCAUGCCGCGUGUGUGAAGAAGGUCUUCGGAUUGUAAAGCACUUUAAGUUGGGAGGAAGGGCAGUAAGUUAAUACCUUGCUGUUUUGACGUUACCAACAGAAUAAGCACCGGCUAACUUCGUG